GCCUCCUCGUGCACGCGCACGCGAAGUUUUAGCUGCAUUUUUGUUUGUUGGCCCGAAAGAGUCAAACCAGCUGAUCUGUUUGUGUGUCAGGUGUUUAAGCGGGCGUGAAUCACACACACUGCGGGAAAUCAGCUGUUUUUACAGCUCGACAGGCUUAAUGAAGCUUUAGAGAACGUAAAUAGGGAUAAUAUGUGUCCAACUACUUAGUUACCAGCGAACGCAGGUGGUUUGACAACGUCCUGCCUUUAGAGAUGCACUUUAAUCCAAUUUUUGUUACAUUGGCCAGUAAUGCUAAAUUGUAGCUUUUAACCAGAGUUCAACUCUAUUGUAUUUCAUCAUAAGCUAUGCUUCAGAUAGAGAGUUAGUAGACAGGUUUAUGUUGUUUCGAGGAGGAAGGUUUCCCAUCAGCAGCUAUUAUGGCAAGUGUCCUUGCAUCAAAAAUGGGUCUCAGCUCCCUUCGGAAGAAACAAGCCAAAACCUUCAAUGUCACAGUUGUUACAAUGGAUGCAGACUUGGAGUUCAGCUGCGAGUUUAACAAAAUGAGUACAAGCUACAGCUUGCAUGCAGCGAAAGUGGAUGAUUAUUUAUAUUACCAAGCUAUUAGAAAAGCCCUAAAAAAGUGGUGACCAUGUGACUUGUUGUGCAAUGUAUUCUAAGUCGUCUGACAAAGCAAUAUUUCAAUAACAUAAAAUAAAAUUAAAAAAAGUUAACCAUGUAAA